UGACCUCGAAUCAGGUAGGAAUACCCGCUGAACUUAAGCAUAUCAAUAAGCGGAGGAAAAGAAACCAACAGGGAUUGCCCCAGUAACGGCGAGUGAAGCGGCAACAGCUCAAAUUUGAAAUCUGGCCCCCCCGGGGCCCGAGUUGUAAUUUGCAGAGGAUGCUUUUGGCGAGGCGCCUUCCGAGUUCCCUGGAACGGGACGCCAUAGAGGGUGAGAGCCCCGUCUGGUUGGAUGCCGAGCCUCUGUAAAGCUCCUUCGACGAGUCGAGUAGUUUGGGAAUGCUGCUCUAAAUGGGAGGUAUAUGUCUUCUAAAGCUAAAUACCGGCCAGAGACCGAUAGCGCACAAGUAGAGUGAUCGAAAGAUGAAAAGCACUUUGAAAAGAGGGUUAAAUAGUACGUGAAAUUGUUGAAAGGGAAGCGCUUGUGACCAGACUUGGGCCCGGCGGAUCAUCCAGCGUUCUCGCUGGUGCACUCCGGCGGGCCCAGGCCAGCAUCAGCUCGUCCCGGGGGACAAAGGCGGCGGGAAUGUGGCUCCUCCGGGAGUGUUAUAGCCCGCCGUGCAAUGCCCUGGGGCGGGCUGAGGACCGCGCGUUUACGCAUGGAUGCUGGCGUAAUGGUCACCAGCGACCCGUCUUGAAACACGGACCAA
rnacentral:rRNA from 1 species